rnacentral:rRNA from 1 species
AGAGUUUGAUCCUGGCUCAGGAUGAACGCUAGCGACAGGCUUAACACAUGCAAGUCGAGGGGCAGCACGGUGUAGCGAUACACUGGUGGCGACCGGCGCACGGGUGAGUAACACGUGUGCAACCAACCCCGUACCGGGAGAUAACCCGCGGAAACGUGGACUAACAUCCCAUGAGACUCUAGAGCCGCAUGGCUCUAGAUUUAAAAUUCCGGUGGUACGGGACGGGCACGCGCGACAUUAGGUAGUUGGCGGGGUAAGGGCCCACCAAGCCGACGAUGUCUAGGGGUUCUGAGAGGAAGGUCCCCCACACUGGAACUGAGACACGGUCCAGACUCCUACGGGAGGCAGCAGUGAGGAAUAUUGGUCAAUGGGCGAGAGCCUGAACCAGCCAAGUCGCGUGAGGGAAGAAUGGUCUAUGGCCUGUAAACCUCUUUUGUCAAGGAAGAAUAAGGAUGACGAGUCAUUCGAUGCCAGUACUUGACGAAUAAGCAUCGGCUAACUCCGUGCCAGCAGCCGCGGUAAUACGGGGGAUGCGAGCGUUAUCCGGAUUUAUUGGGUUUAAAGGGCGCGUAGGCGGGACGGCAAGUCAGCGGUAAAAGACUGCAGCUAAACUGUAGCACGCCGUUGAAACUGUUGACCUCGAGACGAGACGAGGGAGGCGGAACAAGUGAAGUAGCGGUGAAAUGCAUAGAUAUCACUUGGAACCCCGAUAGCGAAGGCAGCUUCCCAGGCUCGAUCUGACGCUGAUGCGCGAGAGCGUGGGUAGCGAACAGGAUUAGAUACCCUGGUAGUCCACGCCGUAAACGAUGCUCACUGGAUCUUGGCGAUACACGGCCAGGGUUCAAGCGAAAGUAUUAAGUGAGCCACCUGGGGAGUACGUCGGCAACGAUGAAACUCAAAGGAAUUGACGGGGGCCCGCACAAGCGGAGGAACAUGUG